rnacentral:rRNA from 1 species
UACAGAGGGCUCAAGCGUUAAUCGGAAUCACUGGGCUUAAAGGGUCCGCAGGCGGAUUGGAAAGUAUCUUGUGAAAUACCACGGCUCAACCGUGGAACUGCUCGGUAAACUUCAAUCUUGAACACGGUAGGGGCCAUCGGAACUCUAGGUGGAGCGGUGAAAUGCGUAGAUAUCUAGAGGAACGCCAGAGGCGAAGGCGGAUGGCUGGGCCGUUGCUGACGCUCAGGGAGCGAAAAGCAUGGGAGCGAACGGGAUUAGAUACCCCGGUAGUCC